rnacentral:rRNA from 1 species
UACGUAGGGUGCAAGCGUUUAAUCGGAAUACUGGGCGUAAAGCGUGCGCAGGCGGUUAUGUAAGACAGAUGUGAAAUCCCCGGGCUCAACCUGGGAACUGCAUUUGUGACUGCAUAGCUAGAGUACGGUAGAGGGGGAUGGAAUUCCGCGUGUAGCAGUGAAAUGCGUAGAUAUGCGGAGGAACACCGAUGGCGAAGGCAAUCCCCCUGGACCUGUACUGACGCUCAUGCACGAAAGCGUGGGGGAGCAAACAGG